rnacentral:rRNA from 1 species
GUGAGGAAUAUUGGUCAAUGGGCGCAAGCCUGAACCAGCCAUGCCGCGUGAAGGAUGAAUGCCCUAUGGGUUGUAAACUUCUUUUGUACGGGACGAAACCCCUGAACGUGUUCGGGGCUGACGGUACUGUACGAAUAAGCAUCGGCUAACUCCGUGCCAGCAGCCGCGGUAAUACGGAGGAUGCAAGCGUUAUCCGGAUUCAUUGGGUUUAAAGGGUGCGUAGGCGGGAUAAUAAGUCAGCGGUGAAAUCCUACAGCUUAACUGUAGAACUGCCAUUGAUACUGUUAUUCUUGAGUACAUUUGAAGUGGGUGGAAUGUGUGGUGUAGCGGUGAAAUGCUUAGAUAUCACACAGAACGCCAAUUGCGAAGGCAGCUCACUAAGCUGUUACUGACGCUGAGGCACGAAAGCGUGGGGAUCAAACAGGAUUAGAAACCCCAGUAGUCC